rnacentral:rRNA from 1 species
GACGAACGCUGGCGGCGUGCUUAACACAUGCAAGUCGAACGGAAAGGCCCUGCUUUUGUGGGGUGCUCGAGUGGCGAACGGGUGAGUAACACGUGAGUAACCUGCCCUUGACUUUGGGAUAACUUCAGGAAACUGGGGCUAAUACCGGAUAGGAGCUCCUGCUGCAUGGUGGGGGUUGGAAAGUUUCGGCGGUUGGGGAUGGACUCGCGGCUUAUCAGCUUGUUGGUGGGGUAGUGGCUUACCAAGGCUUUGACGGGUAGCCGGCCUGAGAGGGUGACCGGCCACAUUGGGACUGAGAUACGGCCCAGACUCCUACGGGAGGCAGCAGUGGGGAAUAUUGCACAAUGGGCGGAAGCCUGAUGCAGCAACGCCGCGUGCGGGAUGAAGGCCUUCGGGUUGUAAACCGCUUUCGCCUGCGACGAAGCGUGAGUGACGGUAAUGGGUAAAGAAGCACCGGCUAACUACGUG